rnacentral:piRNA from 2 species
UAAAGGAGGAUUCGAGCAGAAAAUGAGU